CAAUCGAUUAGCAGAAGGCAAAAGCUGUGUCUUGUCUGAAGAUAUGGAAUUUAGACCAAGGUUGAAACAUGGUCCCUGCGCACAGAGAACCAGCAAGAUCACGGCACAGAUUUGAAAGAAACUGAGUAUGAUAUGGGACAUUGUGUAUUUAUAUUCUGAUUGUGUGGCCUUGGCUAUAAAGGAACAAUUCAAAGAAAGGCAAGGUCAGUGUGAAAUGAAAUAGGGACAGCUCUGUGAAGGAGGUGGGAUUAACAGGGCAUCCUUGAAUGCAAAAAAGAAUGACAAAAUCUUAGGCUUCUGAUUACUUGACACAGUUUUGACCUUAGCUUUAGUGCCCGGUUAUCUUUUCUUCAGGGAAGAGAACCGAUCCCAGGGCUUCACUUGCUAAUUAGAUUUUUAUUCCUAAACCACUGCUUAUACUCUAAACUUUUCCCUGUUUUUAUCUUUUUGGUCUUGGUGCUGGUCACCAUAAACCUGAGGUGGCUGAGUUCAAUGAUUCAUACAAAGACAUUACUUUGAUGAGAUUAGUGGUUUUUCACUGUAAAAAUCUAAGUUUACAUCAGAUCCUCAGGCUCAUCAAAUUAACAAGGCACUCCUUUGGGGGCCGGCUGUCAUGAUCACUCCAGUUCUUAAAGAGCUAUCUGAAUCCUUUCUGCCUAGAUGAACAGAGAGAAGAGAGAAGCAUCUGGCUCCUUUUUCUGGGAUUAUGGUGAUGCUGUUGGUUCUUUUGAAAAGGAAGAAUACGUCUAUGCUGGAUGCAAAUUCAAUAAUGUGUGUGCACCACAAGCUAACAAACAAAGGCCAGGGGUCAUUUCUCAGCCACAAUUUGUGCUGGAGCAAAAGAAAACAUUCUGCCCUUGAACAAAGUCCCAAACAGUGUGAAAGUGAGAACUACUUGGGAGAAAGCAUUUCCAUCCUAUGACUAUGACCAAUUUGAAAUAAAAAUUUCAGAAUCAUAAUAGUGACUCUACCAUAAUUUUCUGUAACAAAACUUCUAUUACAACAGAUACAGGAAAUACAAUAAAAGUCCUAUUGUUUCCAAAAUGGAUUAUAACUGAAACAGGGUAAUUGUAGAAAUAUUUGUGUAAGAAUUGCACAUUCAGCAGCACUAUUGAAAAAUCAUUCUUCUCAGAAAAUAAGUCUUAACAGAUACAGAAGAACUCUCCAGGGAGAUCUGAAAUGGAAGA